ACAGCGGAGGGAUCAUUACUGAGUUAUUAAAACUCCAAACCCUUUGUGAACCUUACUGUCGUUGCCUCGGCGUGAGCUACGGCUACCCUGUAGUUACCCUAUAGCUACCCUGCAGCUACCCUAUAGUUGACCAGUGGCUACCCUGUAGUUACCCUAUAGCUACCCUGCAGCUACCCUGCAGCUACCCUAUAGUUGACCAGUGGCUACCCUGUAGUUACCCUAUAGCUACCCUGCAGCUACCCUAUAGUUGACCAGUAGCUACCCUGUAGCCGGCUUAUGGCCCGCCGAAGGACCGCUAAACUCUUGUUUUUUACCACUGUUUCUCUGAAUUGUAAACUUAAAUAAGUUAAAACUUUCAACAACGGAUCUCUUGGUUCUGGCAUCGAUGAAGAACGCAGCGAAAUGCGAUAAGUAAUGUGAAUUGCAGAAUUCAGUGAAUCAUCGAAUCUUUGAACGCACAUUGCGCCCAUUAGUAUUCUAGUGGGCAUGCCUAUUCGAGCGUCAUUUCGACCCUUAAGCCCCUGUUGCUUAGCGUUGGGAAUCUACAGCGUAGUUCCUUAAAGUUAGUGGCGGAGUUAGGGUACACUCUCAGCGUAGUAAUCUUUCUCGCUCGUGUGGUGGCCCUGGCUGCUAGCCGUUAAACCCCUAUAUUUUCUAGUGGUUGACCUCGGAUUAGGUAGGAAUACCCGCUGAACUUAAGCAUAUCAAUAAGCGGAGGAAAAGAAACCAACAGGGAUUGCCCUAGUAACGGCGAGUGAAGCGGCAAUAGCUCAAAUUUGAAAUCUGGCCCUCGUGGUCCGAGUUGUAAUUUGUAGAGGAUGCUUUUGGUGCGGUGCCUUCCGAGUUCCCUGGAACGGGACGCCAAAGAGGGUGAGAGCCCCGUACGGUUGGACACCUACCCUAUAUAUAGCUCCUUCGACGAGUCGAGUAGUUUGGGAAUGCUGCUCUAAAUGGGAGGUAAAUUUCUUCUAAAGCUAAAUACCGGCCAGAGACCGAUAGCGCACAAGUAGAGUGAUCGAAAGAUGAAAAGCACUUUGAAAAGAGGGUUAAAUAGCACGUGAAAUUGUUGAAAGGGAAGCGUUUGCGACCAGACCUUUUCCAGGGGGAUCAUCCGGUGUUCUCACCGGUGCACUUCCCUUGGUUUAGGCCAGCAUCGGUUUUCUUAGGGGGAUAAAGGCUUAGGGAACGUAGCUCUUUCGGGAGUGUUAUAGCCCUUUGCGUAAUACCCCUCGGGGACCGAGGACCGC
rnacentral:misc_RNA from 1 species